UACGAAGGGGGCUAGCGUCGCUCGGAAUCACUGGGCGUAAAGGGCGCGUAGGCGGCCGUUCAAGUCGGGGGUGAAAGCCUGUGGCUCAACCACAGAAUUGCCUUCGAUACUGUACGGCUCGAGACCGGAAGAGGUGAGUGGAACUGCGAGUGUAGAGGUGAAAUUCGUAGAUAUUCGCAAGAACACCAGUGGCGAAGGCGGCUCACUGGUCCGGUUCUGACGCUGAGGCGCGAAAGCGUGGGGAGCAAACAGG
rnacentral:rRNA from 1 species